GAUGGGCUCCGAAGCUAACGCGAUAAAUCGACCGCUGGGAGUACGGCCGCAAGGUUAAAACUCAAAUGAAUUGACGGGGGCCCGCACAAGCGGUGGAGCAUGUGGUUUAAUUCGAUGCAACGCGAAGAACCUUACCUGGUCUUGACAUCCAUAGAAUUCUGCAGAGAUGUGGGAGUGCCUUCGGGAACUAUGAGACAGGUGCUGCAUGGCUGUCGUCAGCUCGUGUUGUGAAAUGUUGGGUUAAGUCCCGCAACGAGCGCAACCCUUAUUCUUUGUUGCCAGCGAUUUGGUCGGGAACUCAAAGGAGACUGCCGUUGAUAAAGCGGAGGAAGGUGGGGACGACGUCAAGUCAUCAUGGCCCUUACGACCAGGGCUACACACGUGCUACAAUGGCGUAUACAAAGGGAAGCGAAGGUGCGAGCUGGAGCGGAUCUCAUAAAGUACGUCUAAGUUCGGAUUGGAGUCUGCAACUCGACUCCAUGAAGUCGGAAUCGCUAGUAAUCGUAGAUCAGAAUGCUACGGUGAAUACGUUCCCGGGCCUUGUACACACCGCCCGUCACACCAUGGGAGUGGGUUGCAAAAGAAGUAGGUAGCUUAACCUUCGGGAGGGCGCUUACCACUUUGUGAUUCAUGACUGGGGUGAAGUCGUAACAAGGUAACCA
rnacentral:rRNA from 1 species